GGAAAACUACGGAUUCAUUUUGAGUGCUAGUCAAGAUCAACCUUGGAAGAUACUGUUGUUGUGCUAGUUUUCUUUAUUUACUAUGUAAGACCUCGCCACUGUAAAUUUGUCCUAUCAAUAGAUGUAUAUAUGUUUUGUCCGUCACAUCUCAGGAAUAAUAGUAUUGUAAAUUCUUGGGGUGUGACAAAUCCAAUGGUUGGGGAUAUGUCAUUAAUUAGGCACAAAGUUCGAAGAUAAAAUUUCUCGAAUGUUGUGACAGUUAAUCUCAUAAUUCACACCCAAUUGCUAGAAUGACC
rnacentral:lncRNA from 1 species